GGGCACGGGGGGACUCCUACGGGAGGCAGCAGUGGGGAAUUUUGGACAAUGGGGGCAACCCUGAUCCAGCAAUGCCGCGUGUGUGAAGAAGGCCUUCGGGUUGUAAAGCACUUUUGUCCGGAAAGAAAUCGCGCUGGUUAAUACCUGGCGUGGAUGACGGUACCGGAAGAAUAAGCACCGGCUAACUACGUCCCAGCAGCCGCGGUAAUACGUAGGGUGCGAGCGUUAAUCGGAAUUACUGGGCGUAAAGCGUGCGCAGGCGGUUUUGUAAGACAGGCGUGAAAUCCCCGGGCUUAACCUGGGAAUUGCGCUUGUGACUGCAAGGCUAGAGUGCGUCAGAGGGGGGUAGAAUUCCACGUGUAGCAGUGAAAUGCGUAGAGAUGUGGAGGAAUCCCGAUGGCGAAGGCAGCCCCCUGGGACGUGACUGACGCUCAUGCACGAAAGCGUGGGGAGCAAACAGGAUUAGAUACCCGGGUAGUCCACGCCCUAAACGAUGUCAACUAGUUGU
rnacentral:rRNA from 1 species